UUUAGAACAUUGUUGUUUUUACAUAGUACAAAAAAGUAAUCUAUGGUUUUACAUGGUACAAAAAGUUAGAUAAAUCAAAAUCAAAAUCAAUAAUAUUACUAUACUCUCUCACUGAGCUCACACGUGCAAAAUUGAUAGGCAAAACUAUAACAACUAGAUGUCACAAGUCACAAUCUACUUCCCCUUUAAGACUUUAACCUCCUCUGUUCCCUCCUAUUGAGCUUCAUAUAACAGAGGAAUUCAUCUAAUAAUUAGCAAUUCCAUCUUGAAAUAUUUCGAGGAAAUGACUAAGACUACUUUUUAUUCGAUCUGGAACCAUGUCCGUCCUUGCUUCUUUUCUUCUCACUCCUCUGGCUUUCUUUUGGUUUCCCAUGCUUUUCAACUUUAGUUCUAUUGAAUUUUACACUAACAAGACCACCUGAAGGUAUCUUCCCACCACUAUUCUUCAACACACUCUCAAAAUCAACUUCGUUAUCUACAAUGGCAUACCAUUUGAGGAGCUCAGGAUCUAACAUGUUAUCC
rnacentral:lncRNA from 1 species